AGGACAGUCAACCAUACUGAUGCUUCUGCAAACUGUGGUGCACUGCUCUGUUCCUUUCUUCUGAUUCAGCUGCAUGUUAGCUGCAGGAAAUUGAAAACGAAGAUCAGGAGAGUGUUAGUGAAGGGGAGAAGAGGAGGAGGACGGGACUGACGUGCAGCCCGUCAGGGUUUUCUGGGACACAGCACACGGAAAUGAACUAGCCUUGCAUGACCCUACUCUCAAAGUGUGAGGAUGUGCGGGGCAGAAAAGCAAGAACAUUUGUUUUAGAGAACACGAGAGAUCAAAUAAGUGAUUAUAUUUAUUCAGUAAAACACUCAGGGCACAAAUCCAGUUUAAUAUUUCUUUGACAUCCUCUCCAUCCCACGCAUCCUCUCACUACUGCAUCCAAAGCUCUAUUUUAAUUCAGGGAAAACACUAAACCUUUGAGAACUACUGCACUUGCUCAGCCUUAAAAGAGCAUUUGUCCCUUGAGUGUUAAGAGUAAAAUUUUAAUGGAACCAAGAUUUGAUUUGCAACUUUUUGCGGCUUGGAGGAGAGAGAGGGGUUUCUUUUCACUGCUUGUCAUUUUCUUCACUGUAAGUGCUUUCUCUAUGUCUGUCAAUGAAAAGUGCUGAUAAAUUAUAAUGACAGUACAAAAUGA